AGGGUUUGAUCAUGGCUCAGAAUCAACGCUGGCGGCGUGCCUAACACAUGCAAGUCGAACGCGAAAGGGGCUUCGGCCCUGAGUAGAGUGGCGAACGGGUGAGUAACACGUGGGUGACCUACCCUCGAGUGGGGGAUAACAUCCCGAAAGGGGUGCUAAUACCGCAUGACAUCCUGCCUUUGAACAGGCGGAUAUUAAAGCCGGGGAUCGCAAGACCUGGCGCUUGAGGAGGGGCUCGCGUCCGAUUAGCUAGUUGGUGGGGUAACGGCCUACCAAGGCGACGAUCGGUAGCCGGCCUGAGAGGGCGGACGGCCACACUGGGACUGAGACACGGCCCAGACUCCUACGGGAGGCAGCAGUGGGGAAUUGUUCGCAAUGGGCGCAAGCCUGACGACGCAACGCCGCGUGGAGGACGAAGAUCUUCGGGUCGUAAACUCCUUUCGAUCGGGACGAAUGGCCGGUGACCUAACACGUCAUCGGAGUGACGGUACCGAGAGAAGAAGCCCCGGCUAACUCCGUGCCAGCAGCCGCGGUAAUACGGGGGGGGCAAGCGUUGUUCGGAAUUACUGGGCGUAAAGGGCGCGUAGGCGGCCUACUAAGUCGGACGUGAAAUCCCUCGGCUCAACCGAGGAACUGCGUCCGAUACUGGCAGGCUGGAAUCCGGGAGAGGGAUGUGGAAUUCCAGGUGUAGCGGUGAAAUGCGUAGAUAUCUGGAGGAACACCGGUGGCGAAGGCGGCAUCCUGGACCGGUAUUGACGCUGAGGCGCGAAAGCUAGGGGAGCAAACGGGGAUUAGAUACCCCGGUAGUCCUAGCCCUAACGAUGAGUGCUUGGUGUGGCCGGGUAUCGAUCCCUGCCGUGCCGAAGCUAACCGCAUUAAGCACUCCGCCUGGGAAGUACGGUCG
rnacentral:rRNA from 1 species